rnacentral:lncRNA from 1 species
AGACUGAGAGGAGGAGCCAAUAAAGAGGCUGAGAAAGAGAUGACUGACAGCAAGGACAGGGCAGAUACAGCGGGAGAUUGAGCUGGGCCACCAGUGUGGGUUGGCCUUGAGCUGGUAAGGGACAUUGAGACUUCUAGAGUGAAGGAAAAGAAAGUAAAAACCAAUGAAUAUAGAUAUGUUUACAGAGAAAUUGAGCGAGACCUCCCUGAUGACCUCAAUUUUUCCACUGAUGUAAAGGCAAGGUCAUCUGCUGAGAAUGAAAUCAGCAGUUGUUUGGAGAAAGGACUUGGGAGCCUGAGAUCAAGACAUAGAACCUUGAGGCCAGCCCCAUGGCUAAGUUCACACACUCUGCUUCAAUGGCCCAGGGUUUCACCAGUUCAGAUCCUGAGUAUGGACAUGGCACCACUCAUCAAGCCAUGCUGAGGUGGCGUCCCACACAGCACAACCAGAAGGACCCACAACUAGAAUAUU